rnacentral:rRNA from 1 species
UGUCCUACGGGACGCAGCAGUAGGGAAUCUUCCACAAUGGACGAAAGUCUGAUGGAGCAACGCCGCGUGAGUGAAGAAGGGUUUCGGCUCGUAAAGCUCUGUUGGUAGUGGAGAAAGGUAGAGGUAUUAACUGGCCUUUAUUUGACGGUAAUUACUUAGAAAGUCACGGCUAACUACGUGCCAGCAGCCGCGGUAAUACGUAGGUGGCAAGCGUUGUCCGGAUUUAUUUGGCGUAA